rnacentral:rRNA from 1 species
UACGUAGGGGGCUAGCGUUGUCCGGAAUCAUUGGGCGUAAAGCGCGUGUAGGCGGUCCGGUAAGUCCGCUGUGAAAGUCGGGGGCUCAACCCUCGGAUGCCGGUGGAUACUGUCGGGCUUGAGUACGGAAGAGGCGAGUGGAAUUCCUGGUGUAGCGGUGAAAUGCGCAGAUAUCAGGAGGAACACCAAUUGCGAAGGCAGCUCGCUGGGACGUUACUGACGCUGAGACGCGAAAGCGUGGGGAGCGAACGGG